UCAAGCACUCUGGAAGGGGUGCCGUGGUCGUGGGGGCAAUGGCCUUCGUCGGCGGUUUGGUUGGUGGCCCACCAGGAUUAGCUGUCGGGUCUGGAGCAAGUUGUGUAUUGAUGUCCUGAUGUCCCCACUACAUGAAGUGCUCUUGUAAAUGGAAUAUUGAUGCUCCGUGACAAGGUAGUGCAGACGCUUGCCAUACCGUCAGAUCGAGAGGUUCACUGGUGUCAGGAGGAAAAGAUCAGUCAAACUUGUGUAUGAACCGUUUUCCCUUCCUGGGAUGCCUCUUUCCUUUAGAGACCAGAGGAGCAAUUUGCUUCCAGGGCCACAUUGCUUGGAUUCCAAGAACAUAGGAGUCAGACUCUCUCUUCUGAGUCCAGCCUACAAGUGGGUUCUUCCUGGCAUAAGCUGAGUGGUCUGUUUACUUAAUUAAACAUUUAUAAAGUG
rnacentral:lncRNA from 1 species